rnacentral:rRNA from 1 species
UGCGUAGGCGGGCUAAUAAGUCAGUGGUGAAAUCUCUCGGCUCAACCGGGAAACUGCCAUUGAUACUGUUAGUCUUGAGUUCGGUUGAGGUAGGCGGAAUGUGUAAUGUAGCGGUGAAAUGCUUAGAUAUUACACAGAACACCAAUUGCGUAGGCAGCUUACUAGACCGACACUGACGCUGAGGCACGAAAGCGUGGGGAGCGAACAGUAUUAGAUACCCUGGUAGUCC